UACGUAGGGUGCAAGCGUUACUCGGAAUUACUGGGCGUAAAGCGUGCGUAGGCGGUUGUGCAAGACAGAUGUGAAAUCCCCGGGCUCAACCUGGGAAUUGCAUUUGUGACUGCACGGCUAGAGUGUGUCAGAGGGGGGUAGAAUUCCACGUGUAGCAGUGAAAUGCGUAGAGAUGUGGAGGAAUACCGAUGGCGAAGGCAGCCCCCUGGGAUAACACUGACGCUCAUGCACGAAAGCGUGGGGAGCAAACAGG
rnacentral:rRNA from 1 species